GCCGCUACUCCCUGAGGGGCGUCCGGGGCGCGCGGGGUGCGGGCGGAGAGGGCCAGAAUUAACAGUUCUGCAUCUUAUCUGAGCCUAAAUUACCCAUAACUGUGGCAAAGAAGUGCGUCGGUUGGUGGGAAUCCUUCAGAUGAAGGGCAGGCACCUCCGCAGCUGAGCCAUAGGCCUGGGGCAGGCCAAGCAUCGGCACUAAAGGAUGAACAAAACCCGGGAUAUUUUUAAAACAGUGAUAUGGAAUGCCAGAGCUCUGCUCACCACUCAGAAGGUGCCUGCUGCCACCAAGGGAGGUGAGGCAGGUGAGAGGCUGCUGUACUAGACACCUGUACGAGCUAAAGUAAAACUGGAAUCAGUGGCUUGUAACAGCAUUUACUCUGGGGUAACUCAAAGCUUUCACUUUGGAAAUAUCAUUGUCUUAUCAGAUUUCAGGAAAGGAGAGGCAUUGUCAAAUUCCAGGAGGAUCCUAAUAAUUUCUAAUUCUGUAUUAAUCUUGAAUCACAGGUGAUAUACAUCGGCCAGAUGAAUAAAAAGAUUUAUGUAUCAUA